rnacentral:rRNA from 1 species
CGCCAGACUCCUACGGGAGGCAGCAGUGGGGAAUAUUGCACAAUGGGGGAAACCCUGAUGCAGCGACGCCGCGUGAGUGAAGAAGUAAUUCGUUAUGUAAAGCUCUAUCAGCAGGGAAGAAAAUGACGGUACCUGAGUAAGAAGCCCCGGCUAACUACGUGCCAGCAGCCGCGGUAAUACGUAGGGGGCAAGCGUUAUCCGGAUUUACUGGGUGUAAAGGGAGCGUAGACGGUCCUGCAAGCCAGAUGUGAAAGCCCGGGGCUCAACCCCGGGACUGCAUUUGGAACUGUAAGGCUAGAGUGUCGGAGAGGCAGGCGGAAUUCCUAGUGUAGCGGUGAAAUGCGUAGAUAUUAGGAGGAACACCAGUGGCGAAAGCGGCUUACUGGACGGCAACUGACGCUGAGGCUCGAAAGCGUGGGGAGCAAACAGGAUUAGAUACCCCUGUACA